rnacentral:rRNA from 1 species
UUUGGAGGGCAAUCUGGUGCCAGCAGCCGCGGUAAUUCCAGCUCCCAUAGCGUAUAUUAAAGUUGUUGCAGUUAAAAAGCUCGUAGUUGAAUUUCGGGGUUAGUAAGUUGGUCGUGCCACUGGUAUGUACUGGUUUUACUGAUUCCUCCUUUUUGAAGAACUGUAAUGCCAUUAAUUUGGUGUUGCGGGGAAACAGGACUGUUACUUUGAAAAAAUUAAA